AUGUACCGAUACUGACGGUUCAUUCAUUUGUUCUUGUAAUUCUGGCUUCUCAGGAAACGGGACUUAUUGUCAAGGUUGGUUUCAGAAUACUUGCAUAUUGUUAUUUUAUAGACAUUUGGUUCAUAAGUAUUUGACCUUGGGUUAUUGUCAAGCUUUCUCAGACUCAAACACAUGUGCCUGCUGUAGGGCGAUUGCUUUUAAUACGCCCGUCAAUGAUUGGAUAUAGAAGUUCUGAACAAGUACGAGCGUGUGAAGAAUUGUAACGUGUUUAGAAAUACCUGAAUUCGCCGACGUCUAACAGAAUUCAGGAUUUUGAGAAUGUAAAACUUGCCUUUGUUUUUUCUUUUUACGAUGUUUUAUUUUUGAAUUAACACCAGUAUAGUUUCUUUUCUUUCCGUGUAAAUAUCGCUUGGAAUAUUGAUGAGAACAUUUUUCAAAAAAAGAGGUUCAUCUCGUCCUUAGUAUAUUUUUCGACCAUCUUGUUUGCGUAAUCGCAAUGCGUGCUUUACGCGAAUCAUGUCACCCGGGUGACAUGAUCAAAUCGCUAUGCGAUAUGAUUCAAGUCACCCGAUUACGUCAAAUAUGAUGACGUAUGGUGCGAUUCGAUAAUAAACUUCAUGCUCACGUGCACAAACUUAGCUUUUUGCAUGGACACGUUCAAAUUGAAGUAUAAUAUUAGAAUUUAUUAUAUACACAACGUCUGGAUAUGAGAAAAUCUGGAAUCUGAUUGGUUCUUUACCAGCAAGAUAUUAGCUCAUAGCCUGGUAGUAGGGAAAAACAAAAUGGCGGCACAAAUUAACUGAAUUUCAGAUGUUUUGCGAGCGAGAAAACGGCAAGUUGUUCGCUUUUAGGAGCCUUCAUAAGGUAAAAAAAACACGAUGAAAAGCUCCCCCAAAUUGUUUAUAGUCUAGGACGUGUAUAUAAAAUUGUAUGCAUUUCAUUUCGGACAGGUAAUCUCAACUGUUUUUGGGUAAAAUGAUCAUGGCGGUCAACAUCGCACAUGUGCCAAAACCUGAAUCCGGAGCGGAAGUCCUGAAAAUUACCUGAGUGUAUCAGUACAUUUAUGGGCGCCAAUUCUUGGGGAGAUGGGGGAACGCGUCCCCCAAUUUUUGGAGUGGGAUGGGGUCGAAUAUCUAAUUAUCCCCCCCCCCCCACUUUUUGACGUGUUUAAUGAAAUUUUGUUUCUUGGUUAUCCAAAAACCUAAUCCAUGGUAUCAUAUUCAUCAAAAAUUGUGAUUGAAAGGAAGACUUUUAAUAAGAAGAAGUACAACGUAUAACCUUUCUGUAGCCGCUCGGAACAAAUACUGACUUUGAAUAUAUUAUGUAAAAUUACAAAAAUUUAAGAAUAAUUGUGUUUUAAAUUAACUGAGUUUUCCUUAAAUUGAUGAUUAUCAUCAAAAUAAGGUGUAAAAGAUACCUGAUAAUGGAUAUAAUAAUCUGUAAGUAUGUAAAUAAGAUUAGCAAAUUAUAAUUAGCCGCGGAUGCUCCACUAGCAAGCUGCAUCCGUGAUAUAGUAAAAAUAGCUCUCUAAAUAAUUAAACGAAGGUAACACCCUAAAGAUAGAGAAUAUAAAUAUGGAAUCGGAAAAUGAAUAAAGUUAAGUCGGAUCUAGACCACGUUGUGUGUUGUGUUAGCUUGGGUCGUUACAAAAGCAAAUGGUUACUUAAAAAGAUUAUUAGCAUUAAACCAAGGGUGAGGACAUGUUAGCCUGUGAACAGACGUCUGUUAACAGGCCAGCACAUGUUGGUUUUUAGCGGAUUUCUCACAUGGUUGAAAACGGAUUUCUGAACAUGCACAUUGUAAUAUAACUUUACAGGUGCCCCCAUAAACCUGGGAAUGCCGUUUCAGCGUCUCAAGUAUUCGGCUAGCAUGCCUCCGGACUUUCCUAGUUUGGAGAACUCCCCCCCCACUUCUAGCGAUAGGUUGACGCCCUGGAAUAAAUUUACGUCAAUUUACGUAUUAUUUUAUUUUGUGUCUGUGUAGAUGUUGAUGAAUGUGCUUUUGGUACUGACAAUUGUCACGAUAAUGCUACAUGUAAUAAUAUAGAUGGUUCAUUUGAAUGUAGUUGCAAUGACGGAUAUUCAGGGAAUGGUACAAUCUGCGAAAGUAAGUGAACUAUGAAAGCGAUAUUAGGAUGGUGGAUUGACCUGUCGGGUUCGCAGGUGUAAGGAUUAGCUUCUAUUUUGAAGUCGCUACCGAAAAGAUGCUCUAGUUGCAUGCUAAACUGACGUCAAUUAGCGUUUUAUUUCGUUUUAUCUGGCCGUGAGUCUGUUCAUUGAAGUGUCCUUGCUGCAGGGUUAGCACUCUUUUUCUCGAUAGCAUGUAUAGUUUCAUUAUUUUGUUUAGAAUGACAAUUUAUUUUGUGCUUUUCAACCGAUAAUAUCUUAACAUUAACAUUCUGUUAAGAAUAUAUAGGCAACGUUCAAGUAUUAGUUGCUUUGAUCUCGCAUUAUUUUAUAAACAGUAUUGGGAUGUAGCUCAUGAGUUUAUUAAUCAAUUAAAACUUUUCAGAUAUUGAUGAAUGUGUAGACAGAUCUCAUGACUGCCAUUAUAACGCAACAUGUACCGAUAUUGACGGUUCAUUCGUUUGUUCUUGUAAUUCUGGCUUCUCAGGAAACGGGA